rnacentral:tRNA from 1 species
GCACACGUGGCGGAAUUGGUAGACGCGCUAGGUUGAGGGCCUAGUGGGAGUUAAAUCCCGUGGAAGUUCGAGUCUUCUCGUGUGCA